rnacentral:rRNA from 1 species
GACGUAGGGCGCGAGCGUUGUCCGGAUUUAUUGGGCGUAAAGAGCUCGUAGGCGGCUUGUCGCGUCGAAUGUGAAAUCUCAGGGCUCAACUCUGACAUUGCAUUCGAUACGGGCAGGCUAGAGUUCGGUAGGGGAGACUGGAAUUCCUGGUGUAGCGGUGAAAUGCGCAGAUAUCAGGAGGAACACCGGUGGCGAAGGCGGGUCUCUGGGCCGAUACUGACGCUGAGGAGCGAGAGCGUGGGGAGCGAACAGG